AGGACUCUGAAGGACCAGGACCUCAGUCAGACCUGUACAAGGAGGACUCUGAAGGACCAGGACCUCAGUCAGACCUGUACAAGGAGGACUCUGAAGGACCAGGACCUCAGUCAGACCUGUACAAGGAGGUCUCUGAAGGACCAGGACCUCAGUCAGACCUGUACAAGGUCUCUGAAGGACCAGGACCUCAGUCAGACCUGUACAAGGUCUCUGAAGGACCAGGACCUCAGUCAGACCUGUACAAGGAGGACUCUGAAGGACCAGGACCUCAGUCAGACCUGAUUCACUUGCUGUUGGACAGAGACUGAAACACUGCAGCGACUGACCUGUUAAAUCUGCUUAUUUGUAUUUAUGGACUUUAUUUAUUGAUUAUAUAGUGAUAUUGAUUAUUGGUGAUAUUGAUUAUAUAGUGAUAUUGAUUAUUGGUGAUAUUGAUUAUAUAGUGAUAUUGAUUAUUGGUGAUAUUCAAUUCAAUUCAAUUUUAUUUGUAUAGCACCAAUUCAUAACAGAAGUUAUCUCAGGACACUUUUACAAAUAGAGCAGGUCUAGACCGAACUCUUUAACAUUAAUUACAGAGACCCAACAGUACCACCAUGAGCAAGACCUUGGAGACAAGGGCAAGGAAAAACUGCCUGUUAAAAGGCAGAAACCUAGGACAGACCCUCCGGCUCUAGGUGGGUGGUCGUCUGUCUCGACCAGUUGGGGUGAGAGAGAGAGAGAGAGAGAGAGAGAGAGAGAGAGAGAGAGAGAGAGAGAGAGAGGCAGACAGGUGCACA